UGGGGGAUAUUGCACAAUGGGCGAAAGCCUGAUGCAGCGACGCCGCGUGGGGGAUGAAGGCUUUCGGGUUGUAAACCUCUUUCGCUAUCGAACAAGGCCCGCUUAGGGUGGGUUGAGGGUAGGUGGAGAAGAAGCGCCGGCUAACUACGUGCCAGCAGCCGCGGUAAUACGUAGGGCGCGAGCGUUGUCCGGAAUUAUUGGGCGUAAAGGGCUUGUAGGCGGCUUGUUGCGACUGGUGUGAAAACGCGGGGCUUAACUUCGCGCGUGCAGUGGGUACGGGCAGGCUUGAGUGUGGUAGGGGUGACUGGAAUUCCAGGUGUAGCGGUGGAAUGCGCAGAUAUCUGGAGGAACACCGAUGGCGAAGGCAGGUCACUGGGCCAUUACUGACGCUGAGGAGCGAAAGCAUGGGUAGCGAACAGG
rnacentral:rRNA from 1 species